rnacentral:lncRNA from 1 species
CCCGCUAGAGGUGAGCUCUGCCGCCAGAGGGUAGAGGUGGCCGGCGGGGUGGGGGAGGUGGGGUGGGGGGACGGCGGGGGAGGGGUCAGACCACACGUCGGCUCCAUCCAGACCGCCGGCCACAGCUGCCGUCUGGUGCGGCUGGAAGGGGAGGGCUGGGGUGCUGCCCUGGGGGCUCAAGACGGUGGGUGGGCACCCCGCGAGGGGUCUGUGGAUGCCGGCUGGGCCCCUGGCAGGACGUGGGGCACGUCGUCCUGGGGGUGGCCUGCGCCAGGGCCAGGGCAGGGGGUGAUCUCAGGCCUCACGCGGGCCGCCCACCCCUGCCCCUGCCUCCCCUCGCUUCAGGCCCAGAGGAGGCAGGAAGGGGAGGGCCGGGUCCACAUCUGCCGCGGUGUCGGCCGCGCUGCCCCCAGCUGCUCCCGGCCAGCGCCAGCUGGGUUUGCAGAAUUGAUUUUUUAGCAAAAAACAACAUGAAGGAGAAAAGCUGAGACUGGGGCCAGCUGCGGGGCUGUUCCGGGCUCUGUGCCCUGGCGGCCGGUGCUCUCUGCAUGAGGAGAGGCAUGUGGCCCUCGGGGCCAGGGCUCGUGCCAAACACCCGGAGGAGGACCCGGGGUCGCCGUGACCGGCGCCCCAUGCCCGUGCCCCUGCAGACUCCCCGCGGCACAGAGCGUGCAGACAAGCCUGGGCCGCGGGCACGGAGUCCCUGCCACCCCACGGGGCAGCCCCGGCAGGCCCACUCCGGCCCGGCCAGCUUGCCCACCCGCUGCCACUACGGUCCGCCGUCCGGGGGCAGCCGAGGGGCUUCGUGCGCCCAACUGAGACGUCUCUGACAGUCACCCCCACCUCGGCACGGAAAUGCCGCAGGGGUGACGUCUCGAGACCCCCGGGCAGCCGCCGCCAGCAGCCGACGGCCCCUGGUCUCCUCUCCACGUGCUCUUACGCACAGGAGCCUGGGCUUCCGGCACCCUCCCCGCCCCCAAGGGCAGCACUGGGGGGUCUGUGCAGGAUCCCACUAUGGGGACCAGUCACUGCUCAUUCACCCAGGCCCUCCUCGCCCCUUCCGCGGCCCAGCCUGUGGCCUGUCCUUGGGCGGGGGUCUUGGGGGAGCAGAUUCUUUCUCAAGUGGAUUCCCGGGAGUGGAACUGCUAAGUCAAGAUGUGAACAUGUGUAAUCGGGGGAGACGGUCCCAAAUUGCAUGCUGUACAGAUUAACCAGCUCCCCACAGUGUAUAAGAAUGCCUGUUUCGGGGUGCCCGGGUGGCUCAGUUGGUUGAGUGUCCAACUUUGGCUCAGGUCAUGGUCUCUCGGUUCAUGAGUUCGAGCCCUACUUUGGGCUCUAUGCUGACAGCUCAGCAGGCUGGAACCUGCUUCCGAUUCUGGGUCUCCCUCUCUCUCUUCUUGUGCUCUGUCUCUCUCUCUCUCUCUCUCUCUCUCUCUCUCUCUCAAAAAUAAAUAGACGUUAAAACUGAUAAGGGGCACCUCAGCCGCUUGGUUAAGUGUCUCACUUCGGCUCGGGUCAUGAUCUCAUGGUUUGUGGGUUUGAGCCCAUGUUGGGCUCUGUGCUGACAGCCUGGAGCCUGCUUAGGAUUCUCUCUCUCCCUCUCUUCCUGUCCCUCCCCCACCUGCACACACACUCAUUCUCUCUCUCUCUCUCUCAAAAUAAAUAAACACUUAACAAAGUGCUGUUUCCCCAAAGCUACCCAGGCACUAUGAGUUCUUACACUUCAUAAUCCACGGCAAGUGAGAUAUCAUGCCUUUGUACAAUUGUAUUUGCUUUUCUCCUAGUACUCGUGAGAUUGCACACUGCUCGUGUCUGCACGUCCUAUGAAUUAUCUGUUCAAACUCUAUUUUCCAUUUGGAAAGUUACAACUGGUCUUUUUCUUAUCGAUUUGCAAGAGCUCUUUAUAUAUUGAGGAAAUUAGACUUUUAUCUAUAACACGAGUUGUAAAUACAGUUUCCUCAUUUAUUGAUUAUUUAAUUGUUCACAUGCACAUUUAUGAUCUUUCUUUGCCACUAGAUGGACAGCCGCCAGGAGGGCAAGGAAUGUCCAAUUGCCCCAGCGCAGGGUCUCCUUCACCCAGGAGCCUGCCCUGGGCUCUCAGCUAAUUCUGUGUCUCCAGGGCAUAGGCACUUCCAUGGCAGCCAGGUCAACUCUGGGCUCCUGUCCAGCCAGUGCCCCCUCCCCCAGGUAGACAGUACUACCCGGCUGUCCCAGGGUGUCCUCCCCAAACCCACAUACACGCGGUGUCCCCAUGUGAAAGGAACUAUCCCCCCCCACCCCCGCCCCCUGUCGCUUGUCUCCUCAUGGCCCUGUUCCAGGAGGUGGUCCCUCCCCACUCCUCCUCCUCACCUGCCUCUGGCGCGGGGCUGACCACGCACCCAGUGCCACAGCUCAGUGGGAGCCAGAACAGGAGCUGGUCCUGCCCCCUCCCGCCCUCCCGCCCAGGCACAGGCGGGCCGGGGCUGGGUGGGCAGGGGGCAAGCAGAGGGGGUCCCGUGGUGGGGGCCGGGCUCAGCCCUUGAGGAGGGAGAGACUCCAUCCUGUUGGUGGGACUCAAGGGUUCCGGGAGCUAGACCCCGAAGCAUCUAUCCCUGCCUUCUGCAAGUUUCCAGCCUUGGUGUCCCCAUCAAGGAAGGGAGCAGUCAUUGCCCCCAGGGCCACUGCCGUCUGCUCCGUGCACCAGCCCCUGUCGCUGCCCUGGGGGCCUGGUAACCGGUUGCGGGGGCGUCAGCAGCAGCCCAUGCUCUGGACCAGGGGCCAGCUUUCCAAUAAAAGUGGAGUGUUUUUAACAGAUGGGAGAUUCUGGAAAUUGCUAAGGAAAAAAUAGUCCUUGGGCCCAGCCAGGCUUGGCCAGGAAGACCAGCGAGGGGGAAGUAGCCCUCAGCUCCCUCGGCUCACCAGCGAAGGGGGGCAGGCCCUGGUGGCCUCGGCGGGGAGAGAGGUGGCCAGGCCCCUGGCCGAGGCCACUUUGUGGGCACUGGCUUUCUUUGGAGUGGAAUGCUGGUCCUGGAAGCUGCAGUCCCUGGCCCCCGGCCCCACCAGGGCUGGUGGGGGUGGGGCGGGGCCGUGCCCCGAGGCCGCGGGGGCCGCUCACGUCGCUGGCCCCACGGGCCUCGUUAGGAGAGCCCGAGGUAGCAGGUCUGGUCCACUCUCCGAUGUGCUUACGGCUCAGGGCCCACCCACCCCAGCUCUGUGGCCACUCAGGCCACGGCAGCCUCUGCCGUCAUCCUCGCUGCCCGCCAGGCACCUCUCUGCCCCUCACCUGGCCUCUCCUGGCACCCUUCAACUUCACCUGCCCUCCCCCGCCCAGCAGUGAUUCCAGCCCCUCAUACACACGUACCCGAGGUCGGGCUUGGCAGGAUGCGGGGGCGGGGGGGCUCUCCUGCCCCCUGACGGAGACCCCCUAGGCAGGCCCACUCCCCCCAGAGGACCCGUCCCCCUCGUCUCUCCCAGAGCUGGGCCAAGCGCCGAGCCCCGAGGGGCUCCUAUUCCGAGGGCGCCGUGAAUGCGUGCUGGCCUCAUUGCCACUACUGGGGGUCCGGAGGGGCAAGACCUCUCCUGCUCGGGGGGCCUGCUGCCCUGCUGGCACCAGGGUACCCUCUCCCCGAGGAGGCUCGCUGGGUCCCCAUGUCCUGGCUGAGCCCAGCGCCCUGUGCAGAGGGGUGUGGAGGCUACCCCGGGGCUGGGGUGUCUGCUAUGGUUCAGCCCCUGUGCUCUGUCACCCCACCCACCUCCCUGCACAGCGGCUGUGGUCCCCGUGUCGGGGUCGGCGGGGGUGGCACUCGGGUCUCUGUGGUCACUGCUGUGGUCACUCUUGGUGGCGAAAGUGAAUGGGUGGGUGAGUGUGGCCGGCAGUCGGUGGGGGCGGGGGCGGCCACCUGACCCACGGGCCACACACCGGCCAAGUGGCAGCCCUGCACGGGGCUGGUGGUCCGACCAGGGGUGCAAGGGCCUGGGUGGCGUGGAUACGCUGGGGGGUCUGCAGCCAGGACCCUCCACGGGAAAGUGGGUGGCCAGUGCUGGUCCCCGCCCGGGCUGGGCUCUUUCUGGCUCCAGAGGCCUGGCCAGACCAGCCCCCAGCCCAACACACCCUGCGAGGCGGCCGAGGCCGGGCUGCUGCCCAGCUCACGUGGAGGGGCACGGGGACGUGGGAGCGAGGCGUCCUCAGGGCCCUGUGAUGGCCGUGGGCAGGCCAGGGUCACCCUGCUGACCCCCGGCUCAGGGGAUCCAGGAGGAAGAACCACCACACCCAAACGAGAACCGCAUGCCGGGGGCCUGGGCUGGUCAGCAGGGCAGGGCCUGGCCCCGGCCCCCACUCUCUUUGCUCCCAGACCUUCCUUGGCUGGGGUGUCCCCGGGAGAGCUCAAGGUAGGGGGUUGCGGACCAGGUCCUGGCCCCUGGGGCCUGGAACCUAGGAGACCCCCAAUCCCUGCUGGCCACCGAGCCCAGAGCCUCCCCACCCGUGGGCACAUUUCGUAAAGACAGGGAGGUGCGCCCUGGGGUGCGGCUCCGAGGAGGGCCAAUUUGGGGGCACCUCCCAGGUGAUGCCAGCACAGGCCCCAGGCCUCCUGUGGCCACAGCUGCGCUUGGUGCCCCAGUCCCCCACGUACGGAGGCGUGUCUGUGUGUCCCCCCGGGACCAGGCCCAGAGCCCGGCCUGGCAGCACUGGAGGGCACGGGGGCGCCCGGCCGCGUCUCCUCAGGGACAGGGGACCCGCCUCGGCCACAGGAUCGGGCCGGGCCUCACCCGGCCAGGAGCCCCAGAGAGAGCCCAGGACACAUGCUGAGCUGUGACUUUGUGCCUAGAAACAGCCAGAAAGGGGGGGCGCCUGGGGGGCUCCGUCGGUUGAGCGUCCGACUUCGGCCCGGAUCACGAUCUCGCGGUUUGUGGGUUCGGGGCCCGCGUCGGGCUCUGUGCUGACGACUCAGACACUUCGGGUUCUGUGUCUCCCUCUCUCUCUGCCCCUCCCCAGCUUGGGCUCAUGCUCGCUUGCUCUCUCUCUCUCUCUCUCUCUCUCAAAAUGAACAAACAUAAAAAUAUAUAUAUAUAUUUUUUUAAUUUUUUUUUUCAACAUUUAUUUAUUUUUGGGACAGAGAGAGACAGAGCAUGAACGGGGGAGGGGCAGAGAGAGAGGGAGACACAGAAUCGGAAACAGGCUCCAGGCUCCGAGCCAUCAGCCCAGAGCCCGACACGGGGCUCGAACUCCCGGACCGCGAGAUCGUGACCUGGCUGAAGUCGGAUGCUUAACCGACUGCGCCACCCAGGCGCCCCCAAAAAAUAUAUUUUUAAAAGAAAGAAAGAAAGAGUCAGAAGCCACAGGUGAGUGCAGGGAGGCAGCUGUGCACAAAAUUUACGUUCAGAAACCAACAUCUUUCAAAUUCAAGCCGUUUCCAAGAAGAGAUGAUAAAGAGAAGGCAGUGUUUAUAACAGAAGUAAAAGUUAUAAAUUAUCUAGGCACAAACUUCGCCUACUUCCUGUGUACCUGGAACCAUCCUGAGAAGCUCCUGAGGGACAUCUUCUAGCACUUUCCAGAAAGGCACUUUCCGGAAGAGGAGUGAGCCUCACAGUGAUGUCACCUCGUCCUGAGCUAAUCUGAGCCAGACAGUCCCGGGAAAGCACCUGAGAAUUUCUCUGCAACCAGGUCAGUUGAUUAUAAGGUUACUAUUGAACAAACGUGGACAAACAACUAAGAAAGUUCCGGAGUAAAAGAGCACCAAGGAAGCCACGUGUUCCCGAAGCUAACCGGAGUUCAUGGCCGUGGCCACGUCUCGGUCAGCGGGAGGCAGGG